rnacentral:tRNA from 1 species
UAGGCAGUAGCUCAGUGGCUUAGCUUCCGCUUCGUAUGCGGGAAGAUCUGGGUUCGACUCCAGGCUGCUUCC